rnacentral:misc_RNA from 1 species
GAUGAAGAACGUAGCGAAAUGCGAUAAGUAAUGUGAAUUGCAGAAUUCAGUGAAUCAUCGAAUCUUUGAACGCACAUUGCGCCCAUUAGCAUUCUAGUGGGCUUGCCUGUUCGAGCGUCAUUUCAACCCUUAAGCCCUGUUGCUUAGCGUUGGGAGCCUACAGUACUGUAGCUCCCCAAAGUUAGUGGCGGAGUCGGUUUCACACUCUAGACGUAGUAAUUUUUUCUCGUCUGUAGUUGAGCCGGUCCCCUGCCGUAAAACACCCAAUUUAUCAAGGUUGACCUCGGAUCAGGUAGGAAUACCCGCUGAACUUAAGCAUAUCAAUAAGCGGAGGA